CUAAAAACAAUCGACAUAGUUGCUGUUUCGCAGUGACAUUCGUCGGAAAUUGGGUCAUCUUAAACCUUUUGGUUUUAAGCGGCUUAAAAUUUUCUUUACGAUUCCACGAGCGUUUCUAAGAUUUUUUCUUACACGUUUAAGGUAAUCGAUCUUUUAUUAGACGUGGCCGUCGCAUCGGAUCGCGUCCAUAAAUAUUUCGUU
rnacentral:misc_RNA from 1 species